rnacentral:rRNA from 1 species
AUUGAACGCUGGCGGCAGGCCUAACACAUGCGAGUCGAGCGGAUGAAGGGAGCUUGCUCCUGGAUUCAGCGGCGGACGGGUGAGUAAUGCCUAGGAAUCUGCCUGGUAGUGGGGGAUAACGUCCGGAAACGGGCGCUAAUACCGCAUACGUCCUGAGGGAGAAAGUGGGGGAUCUUCGGACCUCACGCUAUCAGAUGAGCCUAGGUCGGAUUAGCUAGUUGGUGGGGUAAAGGCCUACCAAGGCGACGAUCCGUAACUGGUCUGAGAGGAUGAUCAGUCACACUGGAACUGAGACACGGUCCAGACUCCUACGGGAGGGAGCAGUGGGGAAUAUUGGACAAUGGGCGAAAGCCUGAUCCAGCCAUGCCGCGUGUGUGAAGAAGGUCUUCGGAUUGUAAAGCACUUUAAGUUGGGAGGAAGGGCAGUAAGUUAAUACCUUGCUGUUUUGACGUUACCAACAGAAUAAGCACCGGCUAACUUCGUG